AGUGAACGCUGGCGGUAGGCCUAACACAUGCAAGUCGAACGGCAGCACAGUAAGAGCUUGCUCUUACGGGUGGCGAGUGGCGGACGGGUGAGGAAUACAUCGGAAUCUACUUUUUCGUGGGGGAUAACGUAGGGAAACUUACGCUAAUACCGCAUACGACCUACGGGUGAAAGCAGGGGAUCUUCGGACCUUGCGCGAUUGAAUGAGCCGAUGUCGGAUUAGCUAGUUGGCGGGGUAAAGGCCCACCAAGGCGACGAUCCGUAGCUGGUCUGAGAGGAUGAUCAGCCACACUGGAACUGAGACACGGCCCAGACUCCUACGGGAGGCAGCAGUGGGGAAUAUUGGACAAUGGGGGCAAGCCUGAUCCAGCCAUACCGCGUGCGUGAAGAAGGCCUUCGGGUUGUAAACCGCUUUUGUUGGGAAAGAAAAGCAGCAGGCUAAUACCCCGGUGUUAUGACGGUACCGAAAGAAUAAGCACCGGCUAACUUCGUG
rnacentral:rRNA from 1 species